UAUGGCUAAAACAUGGCGAACUUUUUUAACGAUCCCAAUCGAUCGUCUGGCAGACGUUUUGAAAGGAGAGUAUUAGAGAGUAUUGGACAGAGUAUCUCUGUCCAAAAACGUGAAGGAGAACUCUAAGUGAUCGAUAGAGAGGAAAGCAAUCUUCAGCUGCUCGUUCAUUUUCUUCAAACGUUCACUUUAGUAUGGCGGCCGUUUCUUUGUCGAAUUGCUUGACACUCAAUUUAUAUGAAUGCUACUCCCAGUUCUAGGGAGUCAAUGAAAAUCGAUGAACAGCAGCUCGACCUUUACAUUGAGAGAAUAAUAGAAGCAGCUGCAUCAAGCUUGGGGGACGUUGUUGUAAGGGUAUCAAGCAGCACUAAACAGUCAGAGAAAGAGUUUGGUAAUAGUAGUGCAUCAUCUUGAAAUGUGUGUGGAAUCUUGACAUCAUCCUAUGGUGAAGUGACACCAAGUGAGAGUCUUACUGCAGUCUGUGAGCCUGAGGGAGGACCUCCAGUCCAUGCCCCCAGUCAAGAAGUGCCUGUUCAGGAAAGCUCUGGCCCCCCUAUUCAUCAACCUCCCCAGUCCCCAUCAUCACCUGAGCCUAGUGGAAAGAAGAUUAAAUCUGGUUCAGAUGGCGACAAAAGUCUUCAGCAGUUAUGCCAACAACAGAGGACACUGAGAAAGACUCACAGGUUGAAGUACAUCGCACUACUUUUGAACAAUCUCAUCUUGUGAUUAAUAUGAUGUCAGCUCUUUCUUCACAAAAAGUGAUCACUGUGAUGAAUCAGGCAAUGAUGUUUUCCUUUUGAACACUGGGAAGGUACCUUUGGUAUCAAAACUGUUCUGGAGGUCAAAAUAAAAGACGCUUACUGACAAUCUCUGCUCCCACUUGACUCUGUAAAUGGAAAUAAAAUACAGAAAAAUGAUGGUUUCCAAGGAAAGUUUCUUCGCUUCAUGCCUGGGUCCUUAUGUACAUUAUUCAGUUUUUAUGGAAAAUAACAGUUAACUUGAGCAGGAAAACUCCAAUCAGCCUAGAAAGGCUAGAAAAUAAUUGUGCUUAGAAAUAACAGUUACCUCCAGCUGGAAAACAGAAAAGACAGAACAGCUUACAGGGGCUGGAAAAUACAACAGAUUGUAGCUUCAAUAGAUGCCAGAAAUAUGUUUAUGAUAAACUGGCAGAUACUGUUUUGUGCAUUGUGCUGGUGAAGACAGCAGUGCAAGAAUAGGCGAAGAUGGAAUCAAUAAAUGCAGAACAGGAGUGAGUCCUAAAAAAACCAUGGAAGAGGUUUCUGCUGGUUUUGGUGUUGCUUUUCUUGCCAGUGAACCAGAUGAUAAAGAUUUUGUCCUGUAUGAGCUCCUCAAGCCUCCCAAAGAUGCUGCUUAUUAGUAUGCAGAGAUGUUCUGCCAUCAUUAUGAAAUGUGGAGAGACUGGAAAUGGAGGCAACUUGAGGAGAAAUACUUUUUUUAAUUUUAAACAAAAUCUGUAAGGCAAGCUAUUUGGCACA